UUUUUUUUUUUGUCUCUCCUAGAAUUUAAUCUAAUCUAAUCGAGGGGAGGAGGGGGAGGGGGACUCGAUGUGACUCUAUCGAACAUGACCAAUUAAGAUCGUCAUAAAUUGUAACAACUUUUUGGGUGAGAGACAAGGAUCGAACCCUUAAUCUCCCGCACCACCAAUACUUUUAAAGGCUUCUAUGCAAUUAUUUGAUUGUGUAUAUUUUACACAAUCUGGCAUACACUAAUAUUAUUAAUUUAAUAUAUGAAUAAAACUACAUUGAUAAACAUACACCAACAUCUAAAAAAAAACAGAAAAAUGAUAUUAACACUUCCAAAAAAGUUUCUAACACUCCAUCCUCCCUUUAAAACAUAUAGAGACGAUGUAUUGCAGGAAGAGCACAAAAAAGGGACGGGAUGGAGGAUAGAAUGCUCGGGACUCUCUUUUUUUUUUUUUUUUUUUUUUUUUUUAAAGUGCCAAUAAAAUCUCCCAAAAAGUAUCAAACCUCAAUUGUACAUUUGUACUUGCUCCAAUUCCCUUCAAAUUGUGUAGAAUGUUAUUGAUCCUAUCCUAUUGAAUUAAUGCAGCAGUCAUCGUAGACUUUGCGACUGACCUUGCAUCCUUCUUCAAUUACACCCACCAAAGAACACCAAUAACCAACCUAGAAAAAAAAAAAAAGAAGAAAAACACCACUAGCCACAAGCACGUGUUUAACGCUGUACUUCUAUUUAGCAAGAAGAAAAAUAAAAACGUCAGUGACACGGGGUCGCCAAUUGCUUCAGUAUAAGAGUAGGAGCUUCCCUCAGCUUCUUCGCUACAACAAUCCCCCUAAAGAAAACUAGCCAAUGGCAUCUCUUUCAACUCCCCUUCAAAGCUCCACUGCCUACUCCUCCUCCUCUACUCUGUCCUCCUGCCCUUUCUCUACGAAGCCAUCACAGUUUUACCUCAGUGCCAAACGUAACUAUCACCAGUUCACGGUUUCAUGCAAAAACAAUGAAAGCCAUGAACAAGUUAACAAUCUUGAUAGGAGGGAUGUGCUUUUGGGCUUGGGUGGCCUUUAUGGCGCCUCAAACCUCAUCAUCAACCCUUUUGCCAUGGCAGCUCCUAUAGCUGCCCCAGAAAUCGCCAAAUGCGGUCCACCGGCGGACUUACCUUCAGGAGCAGUUGUCACUGACAAUUGCUGUCCGCCGGUGCCCGGCAAAGUCAUUGACUACAAACUCCCUCCACCACCUAAGGUGAACCGUUUUAGGCCAGCUGCUCAUUUGGUCAAGAAAGACUACAUUGAAAAACUUAACAAGGCGGUCGAGCUCAUGAAAGCUCUGCCAGCUGAUGAUCCCCGUAAUUUUACCCAACAAGCAAAUGUUCAUUGCGCUUAUUGCAACGGUGCCUACAUCCAAUCAGGCUCUGAUCAAGAAAUUCAAGUCCAUAACUCGUGGCUAUUCUUUCCUUUUCAUAGAUGGUAUUUGUACUUCUAUGAAAGAAUCUUGGGAAAGCUAAUAGGCGAUCCCAGUUUUGGACUGCCCUUUUGGAACUGGGACAACAUUGGUGGUAUGACCCUACCGUCCAUAUUUCAGGACCAAUCGUCAGCACUGUAUAACCAAAAUCGUAACCAAAGUCAUCUGCCACCAACAGUCGUGGACUUGGGGUAUAAUGGUACGGAUACAGAUGCAACAGACAUAGAAAGGAUAAAAAACAAUUUGGCAAUCAUGUACCGUCAAAUGGUCACUAAUUCCACCACUGCCAAAGAUUUCUUUGGAAAGGAAUACCGGGCCGGCGAUGCGCCCAGCCCGGGUGCAGGGUCCAUCGAGGCCAUUCCCCAUAUCCCAAUCCACAGGUGGGUCGGCGAUCCAAGGCAGCCAAAUGGUGAAGAUAUGGGUAAUUUCUACUCAGCUGGAAGAGAUAUUGUGUUCUAUAGCCAUCAUGCAAAUGUGGACCGGAUGUGGACAAUUUGGCAGCAAUUGGGAGGUAAAAGGAAGGAGGUCCCCGAUCCAGAUUGGCUGAAUUCUUCCUUCAUUUUCUACGAUGAAAAUGCUCAGCCUGUCUGCGUGAAAGUUGGUGAUUGUUUUAGCAAUGAUAAAAUGGGAUAUAUUUACCAAAAGGUGGAUAUUCCUUGGGUCAAGAAUAAGCCCGUGGCCCGCGUGACAAAAUCUAGGGUGGCUUUCACUUCCGGGGCACCACAAGCUGAUAAGGUCUUCCCGGGACCCCUUAACAAGACCGUGAAAGUGUUGGUCAAGAGGCCCAAAUUAUCAAGAAGCAAGAAGCAAAAGGAGGAGGAGGAAGAGAGAUUGGUGGUGUCCGGGAUCGAGUUUUCCAUGGACAAGUAUGUUAAGUUUGAUGUUUUCAUUAAUGAUGAAGAUGAUAAUCCAAACGAUUUUGCUAAGUCCGAGUAUGUUGGGAGCUUUGCACAUUUGCCACACAAGGUUAAAGGUGACAUGAAAGUUAAGACUACUCAAACCUUUGAGUUGACUGAGAUUUUGGAGGACUUAGAUGUUGAAGAAGACGAUGCCCUGUUGGUGACUUUGGUGCCAAAGUCCAAAACUGCUCUUACCAUUGAUAGCAUCAAGAUUGAGGUUGCUGCUUGAUUCACCUGCUAGUACUUUUUUUUUUUUUUUUUUAAUCUCCUCCCUGGGAAAAAAUCUGGCAUUAGAUUUCAUCGAUUGCUUUGAUUUUGACCUAUGCAUGCAUGUUUCAGCACCAUGAAUAAAAUACUUCUGGUGUGCUUGUCACCAGUUAAUAAAAAUAUGUUUCAGCACCUAUCUGACAACGUCCCUUUUGGUUUUUCUUUUUGAAAAGUUUAAUUUACAUUAAAGUUUAAGAUCUUAUGACGCCAUCUAUCUAACUUUCUCCACUCAAAAAAAAAAGGAAAAAAAAAGAAAUAGAAAAAGACAAUUCUUCCUCAAUCAAAAUUAAAUUUUUCUGUGCGUAUCCAGAAGGAAAACAAAAAGUAAUCCUCAAGUACCACGUUUGGCAAAGCUUACAAGUGUUAGCUUCCGAUUCGCCAUUUCAAGUAGUCAGAUAGACUAUACAUUUAAUUUACCAAAAUAUAGGAGAGUAUUUUUUUUUUUUUUUUGAAAAAGAAUAUAGGAGAGGUUACAAAAAGUAAGGGAAUUCUACAAUAAUAAUGAUCCUUGCUUUUUGUGUGUUGAGGAAAGAGGUGAUUUCUUAAAUUUGUGCGAUCCCACUUUUCAUUUCAUAUACCACUUUUGAUUUCAUGUGCAACCUUAUUAAUUUGUGAAGACAGAACUUUAUAUUCUCCUACUUUCACAAUCAAUAGUUCAAUACAUAAGAAUAUCUGCAGCACAUGUGAAAGCUUGAUCAACAACAAAGGAAUUGAUUAGUUUCUAGCUCAAGUUGCCUAAUGAUUCAUAGGAAUGAAAGUUAAAAGGGCUUGACCCCGGCUCCUAUUUUUUAAUGUACAUUUACUUUAUAGGAAUAGGGUAAUAAUAUGCCAACCUACCCAAAGUUUCACGACCACGACAUGGAUCUCCCCUUGAAUUCUUGGAAGUGUAAUUUAGUGUUAAGUGUAUAAUAUGAGCUGUUAUACAUUUUUCUUAGAAUUCUAAGGGCGUUCUUGUUAUAGUGAGCAUCCACUUAAACACUAACAUCUUCCUUGUGUGCAACUGCUUCUUGUAAAACGAUCUAAGCAAGUGUCUUUAAAAUUCUUGGUCCGACUCUUAAGUCCUUGUUUUCUUCAUUUUUCCCUUAUAAUGCUUGAAAUUUUCUUUGAACAAUUAAAAGAAAAGUUGAAUAGGACAGAUAAAGAUUAAUAUAACUUUAUAUAAGUGAAUUCUCUAUUCUUGUAGAUUGAUUACCAUUCGAAAUAUUUGACAAACUUGGCUCUCUCACUCUGCAUUAAAUAGCUAUCGGUCAAAUUUACCAUAUAUUGCAGUCUUGUGGGACCAAGACCGACCAAUAAUUUGAUGCCAUCAAAAAUGCCUGUCGUCAUCAGAAUUUAAUAUGAUAGUAAAUGAGGAUUCUUGAAAAAGGGAAAAACGAGGGAAAAAAAACACACUAAUUAGUAAUUAUUAUGCUUAGCCUUGCAGUUGAAAUCUACAAUGAUAAAAAAAAAAAAAACUAAUUUUUGGUGUGAUGAUUAGCUGGUUUGUAUACUUGCAAAUUAAUUAUGGUGAACAGAAACCUAAUUUCUGUCCAAUGAAUUAUACAUUUGGAAUUUGUAGAAAAUUGAACUAUCUGUACAUCUGUCACUGCCACUAAAAUCAAUUGAAUGGUUGUAGUUUGGCCCUACAUUUGGAAAGAACAAAUAUGAAAAGGAAAUUACCAAAGGAAAAAAGAAUAAACCGACGAAAUUGGAAAAAGGCACAAAACCUCCCAUGUGAUAAAAAGUUCCUCUCUAUCCAAAUAAUAGAUAGGGGUAUUGGUUUUACUUUCUUGUAUUUGGACUUAGACAUAGUACUAGUGGUGGGGUCAUUCAACUCUAUUAAAAGAAAGACACAACACUACUGUGUUCGGCAUAUAACCAGAAGCUGUUGAUUUUCCUCUAUAAAUUUAUAAGGUCCAUCGGUCAUAACAAGAAGGCUAAAUAUAAUAAUAUUCACCAAGAAAUCAUGAUGGGCUUCUAUUAGUCAAUCGAGGGACAGGGCUGUUGAAGACCAAAGAUGCUCAUCACCGGGGAUUGAGAGACCGGAGAAGGAAGAAGUCCAUUUAUUCCAGACAUUGCAACAAACGUUAAGACUAAUUGGUUUUUCUGUCUUCUACCGGUCAUAUACAAACGUGAGGGACUAUUGUAGCUCUAGUUCUCGUGGGUGCUGGCAUGAUGAAGACUUUUCCCCUAUUUUGUGCAGACGAACGUUAGUUGUUUCGACGCUUGAAUAGAGGCGAGCAGGAAAAGUGAGAGUAUGCUAGAUUUCAUUUGAUACGAUAGAUAUUUUCUGUCCGGAAAAGGACCUGAUUUGAUGUUCAAAUGCAUCCAGCAUCCAUGAUGCUACGUUGCUUUGGAUUCGUUUUCACUUGUACGUAGCAGCGUUCCUUUACGUUCCCUUUGAUUUCUAAAGAACAAUCCAUCCAAUCGCUAACUACUCCUCCUCCCAAAUAUCAUCUCAACCUUCUAUUAAUUACUUCUAAUUAUCUAUUUGUAACAGCCAAACCUCUAUGCCAAACCAGAAAUUAUGUACAAUUCUUUCAUGAUUUUUUCCUUCUUCUUUUGCCUUCUGCAUUCGUAGAACCAAAGUAAUUCAUUGUAUCAUGUUCUUGACUCUGAGACUUGAACGUCUACAUCCUUAUAAUCACGUGUACAGACAACGAUACUCUGGUCCCGCAGCCAUUCUGGCCACCCACGAGCUCUUACGGAUAAAAUCCAUCCAACUAGUAAAGGAUAAGGCCAUUACUGAUUUUAGCCCCCUGGCGAUGCAAAUACAAAGACAAAAAACACGUACAACACCUGCAUUCCCGGAUGGAUUUCACUUUCGCGAGAUGCCAACGGCUGAAAAAGGACUAGCGAAGCUAUUCGGUCCAAUUUGCAUUUAAGAGGAGAAAAAGAAGGUGAAAAUUUCGACAAAUGCUUUGGGAUGAUAAAUAAAGAACAAGAUAAGAAGCCCCUCAAGGCUGAAGGCUAUGGACUGCAGAUCUUUUUCCACUUAAUAUUUGACUCGUUCCAUGCAUGGAUGAUGCACCUCUGGAAAUUUUCUAAACAAAGAAAAGAGUAGAGAAGUUACCUUCUUUGCAGUCUCUAAAGGACGAGCCCAUUCAUUGUUCCAAUUAUGUUCUUCAAUGAUUGCCCUACUCCCUUAGAAUUGAGAUUGGUCUGUCACAGCUUAUCAGGGGUCGUUAGUAUAAUGUAGCCAUUUGUAUGCCAUUUGGAUGUGUACUACACAAUCAGCAUGAGGCGCAAAGCAAAAUAUGUCUGUACUGUCAAAUCUGUACUACAUAAAUUUUAUUAGGUAGUAGUACACCACUUUCAUUCCCCCCCCCCCUCCAAAAAAAACCUUAUUUUAAUUUUUUUUUUUUUAAAAUUUUCAGUCACGUUAAGUGAAACUGUUUUAAGUUUUAACCAAGCUCUAACGGAUUUUAUUAGCACAUUUGGAUUGCUAUUUUUUGAGUUUUUUUUUAAAAAUAUAUUAUAACGAUAUGAUAUAUAAGAAGUUACAAAGUAAUCGAGAAAUGCAUUCACAGAAAACAUAAAAACUUUUUUUGAGACCAUCUGUAUCACGGGCCGGUUACGUGCAAUGGAAGACAUACUCUACAUUUUAUCGGUAGCCCAGUUCCAUCUCAUUGGGUCCUUCAUGUUUUUGGAGGUGGGGAGGAAAAAUACAGAACGCAGUUUAUUUGUGACAACUACCGUCUAGCUUCAUGAAGGAAAAAUUUAAAUCAAAUAAUCAGUUUUUAAAUAUGUUUUUUUGAGGUGAAAUUUUGAAGGAACAUUACCGCCCCAACCAAAAAUUUGUUUAUUCGGAGAUAAAUAAAAUUUGCUCUUCUCUUGACAUCUAAGGAAAAUCAAACGAAAAAUCAUUUACCAGCAGUGAUACAAGAAAUAUGACAUUUAUUUAUCUAUUUAUUUAUUUAAUAGAGAAAUAUGAAAUUAUUCAUCAAACAUUUGCAAAUCCAUGAAGAUGGGUACGGUCCAGAGAAGGCUAGCGAGACAUUUUAGAUUAUUUUAAAAUAGGUUGGGCAUUUUCUUUUUGCAUGUCAGCCCUUUUGUGAUGUAGGCUUUCUCUGAGAUCUCGGCCCAAAUAUUUAGUUCUUGGGAUUAAGGUAUACCUUGGGCUUGUUGGUUCACGGGGCCUAACACCAAAUUCCAGAUGGGCAUUACAAUAUUACAUGACACCAAAUGAGACAUUUGGGUGGGAUUGCAUCGCCAUUAGUUUUUUUUUUUUUUUUUGGGUUGAUGAGGAAUUCAAAGAAGAUUAAAUCGUUAUCAGAUGAAACAAAUGCCCGCUCAUCUGCUGGGAAAAUUUCCAAAUGAGAAUACGAACAAAUUAAUCUUGAGUACAAUAAAUAUGCUGUGCUCAUCUGAGCCAAGAAAAUUUGAGAAAGAUAAAUCCAUAUCUAGACUACAAAUGCUGUACUACUAGACAUCUUCUUGAUUUAAUUGCACAUAGAGUUUUAAUAACUAGCUGGUAUCUUGUACGUUGGUAAACAUCUACCUAAAGCGGGUUUGUUAGAAACAAAAAUAUUUCCUAACCUGUUCUUGUAUAUAUGUUGUUAAUAUACGUCUGGGUUGGCACGUACCAACGCUUCACUCUAAUGGUUGGAAGUGUCCGUAAACCCUAUCAUUUGUGCUUUCUGAUCAUUGAUACAUGGAAUGUUGAGAAUUGAAAAGUACAAUAAUGAAAUGAUCGUAUCCAAUGAUCAAGUACCAAUUCCUUGUCCAGAAUGGCAUGGAAAAACUUAUUUGAUACGAAUCCAACCGUGCUUGUAUUCCAACAACAGGAUCUAGACACGUGACUGCAAGGUUUGAUUGCACGAAACCCUAAACCUCCUUAGAAUCCCUUAGAUGAGAACUAAGACUAAUUCUUAAUCCUCAAGAAAAGAUUCAAGGAACUUAUGAUUUUGGUAGAAUGGUGCCACGAACAAUUUUGAUUCUUGUUUGAUAAGCCAAGAAGAAUACAUAGAACCAAUCUAAGAUAUUCAAAGGUUAACCGACGCUAAGAGAAUUACUGUUAAAACUGAAAUUUCUUUAUUGAUGAUUGAAUGAAUAAAACUCGGCCAACCCUUCUUUUUAUAGGGUUCAUGAACCGAAAUCCUAAGUAGCAAUGGAAAACGAUAUUAACUCCAACUAAUUCUAAACCUAACUUACUAAGGAAACUAUCAACCGAAUUUGGAAAGUGCUCUUACGCCCCAAAUGGACAAGGGCUGGUCAACUAAGGCCCACAUGGGCUGCCCAGCCUUAUUCUCAAGCCUAUACUAGACACUUAACUAGAUGAUGAGGCCCAUCAUGCAGUCCGCCCUCUCUCUAGUCAUCCGCGACUUCCUCAUGGAUUUGGAGUAGGCUCACCAUCGUGUGAUUGGACUCUUGAAUCCUUCUUAUGCGUGUAUGAACGAUUUGUAGAAAUGUUUGGAGGUUCUCUCGCAUCUUUCUUGCCCUUGCUAGAGUCAUCGGUCCAACGUUCAUUGAUGGUGCAUUUAGCGCCUCACUCGAGCCAUUUGAAUCAGCACCUUGGAGCCUUGGUGGUCCCUCGUAUCAUUCCCCUCCUCUUGAAAGCAAUUUGUUCGCAAAUUGAAACAUGAAUGAUGACAAAAGGAGUUACAUGCCGUUGAGUCAAUUUUGUUAUGAUUACCACAAGUUUCCUCCAAUGCAAAAACCACUUGCUAAAUUGGAAAGUAACCCUUGUUGAGCCUUGAAUCUUACGAACCAACUUCAAUGUAUGCUCAAUUUGAUCGCCUUUGGCCAUGAGGUAAGGAUCCUCAAAGUGAUGCGGCAUAGGUCCCAUGAAGUCGAAUUGCUCAAAUUUGAAUAAGCCUGCAAAGUAUGCAAACUGAUUUGGUGAAAUUGGACCUCACCACAACUCCUCCUUGGACCGAAGAAGGCUUUGGUAAGUCUCCCACCACAACUCCUCCUUAAAUGGUUCAACCUCAACCUUAGACUUGGAAGAAACUAAUGGGGUCUCUUUUCUCCUUGAAUAGGUUGGCUUUGUAGAGGUAGAUUGCUUAGAACUCCUCUUUUUUACAUCCCUAUUCUCUAUUCGAUCAAGUCGUUUGUGAAGAGGUUCAAAAGUUUCAUCCAAAAUCUACUUGAAUUCUUCCCUUAUUGCAUCUGCAAAAAGUUUAAAUUUGAAAGCUUGAGAGCUUGUUUCUCCCUCGUUAGCCAUGGUGAAGUGAAAACUGUGUAUUUAGCAGUGAAAGGAGAUAAUUUUACCUCACAUACUCCCUCAUGUGUAUGCACUCACACUCGUGUUUUCACACACUAAACUCUCUAAUUAUAAGCUCGCCAAAUAUUCUCAAAACUUUGAUUUCACCCUUGAAGAAGUUAGAUCAAUUCAAAAGUUGUUCAAUGGCCUACCAAGGAAAGAGUCACUUAGCACGUAAAUUGGGGAAUGUAUGUUUAGAGAGUCGAAGCUGAUUUUGGAAGCUCGAUUACUAAGAUGAAUAACUUAACUAAAACUUGACUCGGACUGAUCAACUAGGAGAAUAGACAAUUAGACUCAAUAAUAAAAAAAAAGGACUCAACCGACUCAAAUCAAGCAAGAAAGAUGGCUGUAGUUUUCGGAUCCUAAAAGGACUUACCCGACUUGCACUUGGCUAUUUUUUGAAGGUGUAAGACAAGGCUUCUUGGACCUUUUUGGGUAGGUGUUUCGGCUGAAUGUAGAGGUUUCCUACGUGGCACAAGGUUCCAAUUAGAAUUUGGUAAGCCAAGUGUAACUAGGAUUUGUUUAUAAACCCAAGUCAACUAGGUUUUCAAGUUUCAAUAGGUUUCCUUUAGUUGUAGAAUCGAUUCUGGUUUCCUCUUUGUUCUUGUUAAGUGGCUAAUUGUGCAUAUAAUUGGUACAUAUUAUCCCCUUUGUUUUGCUAAAAUAUGGCGUUAAUCGAUAUAUUUCACUCAUAUUUGAAUUUUGGUACUGUUUGUAGGAGUUGUUAGUGAGAAUGAAGUAAAAGGCGCGUUAAAAGUCGACUUUCCAGAAGACGUCUUGUAAAGCGUGCCCACGCCUUAUCAAACUCGAAGUGGUGCUUCUAAAGGUCCAUGUCCAAAAGAGCUUUCGUUAUAAAGCGUGCCCACGCCUUAUUUGGCAAAGCAGUCAAAAGUUCGCAAGACACAAGAUAAAUCUGUCAAUUGGUCAAGGAGCCGGUUGCAUCCCAUGGGCUGACACAUUAGCCACGGAUUGAAGACCUUGAGGGGCCAUGAUUCGAUGUAAUUAUUUUGGAAAUUCAAUUAAAAGGUCUUAGUUGGAUAGUUUAGGGGAACUAGGAGUCUUAAAAGGAAAGAGGAGCCUAUCCCCUAUUAAUAGGGGAGAAAACAGACGUGGGCUGGAAUUCAUCAUCUAUCUAAAACCCUUUUAUUCUCUCGUUGGUUUUAUCUUUGAAGGGAACGAGCCGUCAUCUUUAGAUUUCUCGAGAGGAAUGAAAUUACUAUGAAAACUUUGAAUGGCUUUGUUGUCAUGACUAUGCGGCAAGGCUAGAUCAUUUAUCUAGUUGAGGAAUAAAUCAAGGAUCGGGGUACCAUAACUGUGAGAUCGUUUUAAUUGUUCAUUUUUAAUUUGUAUGUUCAUGGGUAUUUGAUUAGUCUCUAUUUUUUCCUGAGUUAUUAUUGUUUAGAUUUUUUGGAUAAUUAGACCUGUUAUUCGAUUGUCUAAAUAAUUGAUAGCCAAUUAGGAUGUUGGCGCGUUGCCUUUAAGCAUCUUGAUUAGUGGCAAACGAGACAAUUUCACCGUCACGCAAGCGAUCUAAUUUGGAUCGUGGAAAUAAUUAAUCUAGCCUAAAUAAACCCGCAUUUGUGUUUGUUAUCUAGAAUUGGGUCUUUCUAAUUCCUAAUGCUGUGGCUACAUUAAAUCCUGUGAGCGUUUCUGGGGUUGUCUAAUCACAAGAGGGUAGUUUAUGAGCGUCUCUUGACUACCAUAAAAUUAAGGAAAGAUUGGUGGUUGGGCGCGUCGCUUGACCACUAUAACCAAUUUAUUCGUGAGUAUAUGAAUUGUCCCUUGUAUCUGUGAUCAGUUGUGUGCUUCGGUGCCAAGAUUAAUUCCUUGACUAGGUUGUUUUAGUUAAUUGUUAUUUGUGUAAUUUGGUUCCUGCUAUCUUACUCAACUUUGAAUUUCCGUUUUUACUCCUUUUUUAAUUAGUUGGUACUAUUGCUAAAAAUUCCCCCCCAUCUUCCUGUGUGAUUUGCCUAUCAGUUCCCUGAGGAGACGACCCUACUUGCCCUGUUUACAAAUUAAAUUUGAGAUUGUGUUGGUUGGCAAUUAGGCUGUUAUUUUUAACUUUAUUUUUGGAGGUUUGACACCCACCAGUUCUUUCUUGUGUUUCUUUUUUUUUUCUUCCUUUUGUAGUAUAGAACGUAACCAGAUUGCUUCUUUUCUUUCUUCCAAUUCGAACACAACUCAAAGCAAAAGCUCGGCUAUGUCUUGUGAGCAAGAGCAGCUGCUACUUCAAGAUUCAAGAACUAAAUUAAUUGAUUUCAAGAAAUUCAAGAAUCACCUACGAUUUUCAAGAUUUGCAUCCAAGAUCUUUUGGCAAUUCAAGAUUUGAAUCAAGACUUUCAAAAACAAGGUAAAACAGUCUUAUUGUAGUGCAAGACACAAAAAUUUUCCCACCCUAUUAUUCAAGAACCCUAAUCGCUUCAAAGAAAGUAGCGAUCAGAUUUGUUGUUGUAGUUUCAUUUUUUUUACGUCAACAAUUUUAAGACUCAAGAACAAAACAAUCAAGACGCAAAUAAGAACAACAAAACGAGAUAGAUUGGCAACUAAACUAAAAAAAAAAUUUUUACUAGUGAACACUGACUCCAGAUGAACAGUAGCGAUGAACAGUAACGAUGAACAGUAAUUUUUUUUUCUUUCAGAUUCACGAAUGACACAAAGAAAUACUAUGAACAAUAAGGAUAUAAUCUGAAAGUUGUCAACUAGCUCUGAUUACCGGAUGUGAUACACACUUGAACACGAUCUAGAUAAUAACAUUGACGGUUUGACACCGGAGAAUUUGAUCCAAUCUAAUUCUCAAAAUAGCGAACAAUAUUGAUACUAUCUCAACUCGUAACUUAACGAAUUAGCGAAUCAAAUUAUAGAUAGUAGAACGCCACAACCAAGGAGUUACUUGAUUGAUAAGUUCGGAAUGAAUAACUUGAGAAAGACUCUCAAUUAUUCAAAUGAGCUCUCUUGGAAAGAGAAAAGUGAAUAACUCACGAAAUUUUAUUGAUAAAAAAUUGAUUAUGAAGGUCCCUAACUUCGCCUAUAUAUAGCCAUACAAACUAGAAAGUCUAAAGUAAAUUGGAUUCACUUAAAUUAGAAAUCCUAAAGUGAAUUGAAUUCACUUAUUUACUAAACUAAUUAAUUCGGCUAACCAAGACAAAAUCUGGCCGAAUUUUAAUCUCUACUAAAUGACUCAAUUUGGCAAGGUAAAUGACAAACAAACCCUUGCUUAACACCACCAAAUAAAUGACACCACUUGGACUAAUUAGUUAACUAAAUUGAUUUGCUUGGACAAUCUUCAUGUUCUCAUCAUUCCCCUCCUCUUGAAAGUAAUUUUUCCACAAAUUGAAACACAGAUAGUGACAAGUAGGGGUGGCAAUUCGGGUCCAAAUCAAGUUGGCCGUGACCCGACCCGCCAACCCGUGACGGGUCAGGUAUACUGACUCAAACUCGAAAAUUUCAGGUUGACGGGUUGGCGGGUCGACCCGAAAUGACUCCAAACUUAAUUUUAAUUUAUUAAUUUAUCACUGUAAUUUCUAAUAAAAUUAAUUUCUCACAAAACUAAUUACAUAAUCAAGUAAUAAAAAUUUAAAUAAAUAAUUCCAAACCAAAUCUAAAAUAAAUUAAACACCGUAAAAGUGUGUUAUCCAAAACAAAAUAUAAAAUAAAUUAAAACAGUAUAAAAGUAAAAAAUAAUAUAAUAUAUUAUUUGUCCAAAUAUAAUAAUUUCAACUUCACACAAAUUAAAUAAAUUCAUUUAGGAUUAAGUAAUUAAUGCCUUUGAAAAAAAAGAAUAACUUAAUUUAGUUAGAUAAAAUUAUUUUUAUGUUUAUUAAAUUAUUUUUAAUUCGUAAACGGGUCAUAUCAGGUCACCACGGGUUGACUCGAAAUCGACAUGUUUUCUUUUCGGGUUCAUCGGGUUCAACACGAUUCUGACCCGAAUUCCCGAAACUUAAACCCAAAUCCAUUAAUUUUGUGUUAGAUUCGUGUCGUGUUUUCAAGUCGUGUCGAAAAUUGCCACCUCUAGUGACAAGAAAAGUUACAUGCCUUUAGUCAAUCUCGUUAGGAUGACUACAAAUGUCAUCCAAUGCAAAAAUCACUUGCUAAAUUGGAAAAUACUCCUUGUUGACCCUUGAAUCUCACGAAUCAGUUUCAAUGUAUGCUGAACUUGAUUGCUUCUGGUCAUGAGGUAAGGGUCCUCAAAAUGGUGUGAUAUGUAUCCCAUGAAAUCCAACUCAUGCUUGAAUACACUUGCAAGACUCCAAGGCAGCUUUAUUGGAGUUGGAUCUUCAUGUGGACUAAGGGCAAGAUGACAAUUGUAGUGGCAAUGAUCAUUAAGGAAUUCAUUCUUUGAACGAACCCUUGGUACAUAUCCAUCCCCAAAAUUUGGAAUGUUCCCUUCAAUAUGAGCUCGAAUUAACUCUCCAUUGGUGUGGACAGAUUUGAAUUGACAUUGUUCCAUGAAUUGAUGUCAAAGGGACUUAACUCUUGAAAGACAAACUCCAUGGAAACUUACAAGGUGUACAAUUGACUUUGGAAUGGAAUACACCAAGAUUACCUCAACUUGACUUUACUUGAUCUGUAUAAAAGAAGAAACACUAAACAAAACAAAGGUAAGUUCGUUAGGAAAAUAAUAGACCAUCAUAUUUUUGCUCAAAAUCAACUAACUUUCUCUCUUUUCUUUUUUUUUUACCACUCAUCUCAUCAGAUUUUUCCAUCUGCUUUUCUAGCUCAAUAGCUGACUUUUUCCUCUCAUUAUUCUCAACCUCUUUUUCCUUUUCAACUCCCUUGAAUUGUAUCUCAUCAGUCACAAUUCCCUCAUCUACCUUUUUCUUCAUACUAUAACACUUAUGCUCACUUUUCAUGUAUGUUAGAUCAAUACCAAGUUGGUCAUAAAUAAGUGAUACAAGUGCAGAAUGACGACCAUUAAAUAAGAAGGAAUACUUAUUAGUAUAUCCAUCAUAUUUAACUUCUCGCCUCAACAUCCAUGCUUUACCCAACAAUACAUGUGUCACUUGAAUUGGGACUACAUCACACAAUACCUCAUCCACAUACUUGCCAAUUUGAUUAGGUAUAAGUGUGUGCUUAGUAACCCAAACAUCACCAUGAGCACUCGACAACUUAUACGGUUGAAGAUGAUCAAUGGUUGAAAAAUUUAAUUUGUUAACCAUGAUAGCGCUUGCAAGAUUGACUUUGCAACUCCUAUCAAUGGCCAAGCUGCCGGUUUUAUCUUUGACAUCACAACGAGGAUAAAACCAACCAUGCAACUUAAAUUUUACAAUGUCCAACUGCUCAUCUAUACCACGUAAUGCCACUUCUUUAAUUCCCUUAGGAUCAGGAAGAAGAUGUUGUAAACUAGCUUUUAAAUGCCUCGUAUUCGCCAUGAUGUAUGAAAAAACCUAUAAAAAAAUUAGUGAAACAAAAGAUAUUUUUCUCACCACACAAUCUCACGUGUUUACACUCGUCACUUGUGUAUCACUCAAGUGUUUAAAACACUCUAAUACUCUCACUAAUCACUUCUCAAGUCACUUGACUGCUUCUCUUGAAGAAAUCAGAAUUUUUUUUCAAGAAAUUCAACCAAACUUCACUCAAGUUUUACCCAAAAUGUGGCGUAUAAUUGCUGAAAUUUUAGGGUUGAAUAGGGACUCAAAAAGGCAGCAAAACAUGAGCAAAACAUGCUGAAAUUUUCAAAUUUUAGUCCACAAAAAAGGUGUCCUAAGUGUUGGAAGUGUUUGACUUUGACAAGUACUCACUUUGGGAACUAACACCAAUUAAAUCCUAAACUGAUUUGGACUUGUUGUGGUAUAUUUAGACACGAAUUUAGACCUGAAAAAUACUAAAAAAUGAUGCUAUUCACUAUGGGACAGUUUGUAAACUACGACUCAACAAGGCAAAAAUUUGGCAGAAUUUUAGAAAACCUAGAUGAAACUCUACCCGAUUUGCACUAGGCUGGAUUUUUGGAAGUUGUAAGCAAGGUGUAAUGGGUUGUUUUUGGAUGGUUUAGUGGCUGAUUUUCUGGUUCUUCACGACUCCAAAGGUGACCAAUCAGAAUUUGGUAAUUUGAGUGCAACUAGGGUUUGUUUUGCAAACCCAAAUCAACUUGAUUUCCAAAUUCAAGUUGGUUUCCUUUUUGUUUUCUCCUUGUAAUUCGAUUUUGUUUCCUCUUUUUUUUUUUUCUUGCGUUUUCUUUCUUUCUUUCUUUCUUUUUGUAACGUAAUCAGCUUUUUUUUUCUUCAAUUCGGAUCACAACAAGAAACAAGAAUCUCGUUUGGAUAUUUGCACAAGAUCAGUCCAAUUCAAGAAACAAGAAUUAAAUUUUGAUUUGUUCUAGAUUUGUUUAAUCUUGGUUUCAAGAAUUUCAAGAACCAAACCACUACUUCAAGAUAGAUGUCAAGAAUUCCAACCGUGCUUGGCGAACUCGUAUUCCAAUAACAAGAUCUAGACACGUGACUUCAAUAUUUGAUUGCGCGUAACCCUAAACCCCCUUAGAAUUUCUUAGAUGAGAACUAAGACUAAUUCUUAACCCUAAAAAAAAGAUUAAAGGAACUUAUGGUUUUGGUAGAAUGGCGCUACGAAUAAGUGUGAUUCUUGUUUGAUAAGCCAAGAAGAACACUUAGAACCAAUCUAAGAUAUUUAAAGGUUAACCGACGCUAAGAGAAUUACUCUUAAAACUGAAAUUUCUUUAUUGAUGAUUGAAUGAAUAAAACUUGACCAAGCCUUCUUUUUAUAGGUUUCAUAAACAGAAAUCCUAAGUAGCAAUGGAAAACAAUAUUAACUCCAACUAAUUCUAAACCUAACUUACUAAGGAAACUGUCAACCGAAUUUGGAAAGUGCUCUAACGCCCCAAAUGGACAAGGGCUAGUCAGCUAAGGCCCACAUGGGCUGUCCAACCUUAUUCUCAAGCCUACACUAGACACUUUACUCGAUGAUGAAGCCCAUCAUGCAGUCCACCCUCUCUCUAGUCAUCCGUGGCUUCCUCAUGGACUUGGAGUAGGCUCACCAUUGUGUGAUUAGACUCUUGAAUCCUCCCUAUGCGUGUAUGAACGAUUUGUAGAAAUGUUUGGAGGUUUUCUCGCAUCUUCUUUACCCUUGCUCGAGUCAUCGGUCUAGGGUUCAUUGAUGGGUGCAUUUAGCGCCUCACUCGAGCCAUUUGAAUCAGCACCUUGGAGCCUUGGUGGUCCCUCGUAUCAUUAUUGCAUAUGAAAUGGGGCAACAUAUAUAUUUGGUGAACCAUAUCCAGUCUCACAAAUUAAUCUUGAGUACAAUAAAUAUGCUGUGCUCCAAGAAUUAGACUAGAGAUGGAUCUUCUGUGGUGUAACCGGGCAAUGACCGACCAACCAGUAGGCUAUGUAUAUUGUUGUUGGAGUAGUUAGAUUCACAUUUGAGCUUUCACAUGCGAUGUUUCCCUCAAAACAUUAACUAAUCCAGCUACCUAUCUCGGAUUCACAUUUAAUGUCACAAUUUAUUGUUCUUAAAUAUUUUUCUUUAUUGUGAAUAUAGGCAAUGUCACAGUCUUACCUCUGGACAACACACACAGUCCCGUGACUUUUUACUAAUUGAUAUUUAGGACCACAAUUCAAUGUUAUCAUGAUUUUUCAAUAACUAUUAAAUGAGAUUUUUUAUGAAUUUUUUGCUGUCUUUUUUAAUUUUCUAUUAUAUAUUACUUUUUUGAAACUGUUGUAUUUAUUUUUUACUCAAUUAAUAGUUAUUGAAGUUGCUGUAUUUAUUUUAUAAUAUUUUAAGUUUGUUAAAUUUUGUAUAUUACUCAAUUAAUAGUUAUUGGAUCUUUAAAAAAUAAAAAAGAACUAAAAUAUAAUGUUUAUGUAGGAGAAAUAGCAAUAUAAUAAAAAGUGGGACAGGGAGUGGCACAGGGUGUGGGACAGAAGAUCCGUUGCGCCCCUCGCAACGGAUCUUCUGUCCCACACCCUGUGCCACUCUCUGUCCCACUUUUUAUUAUAUUGCUAUUUCUCAUUCAUAAACAUCAUGUUUUAGUUCUUUUUUGCUUCCUUAUGAUUCAAUAACUAUUAAUUGAGUAAUACACAAAAUUUAACAAACUCAAAAAAUCAAAUUUUUUUAACUAGCCUCUGCAUGGGUCGGUCCUUUUUUUUUUUCCUCGCAACGAUAUAACAUAUUCUAUUCUAAUUUAGGGGGAGGAGGAGUCUAAGGAGGCUUGUGUCAAGGGCCAGUAGAUAUACAAAUCCAACUAGACCAAAAAAGUGUUAUGACACAACCCUUAGAACUUUUUUUUUUUUUACAGAUAAAAUUUGAAUCCUCACCUACAACCCAAGAAAAGAUUUAAAUCCCUUCCUGAUGGCCACUGAGCUAGACUCAGUGGUUAAUUGGCCAGGUCACUUGCGUUCUUUUAUACAAGGUUUAAUCGAUGUUUGCGUGAAAUUUUGUAACAGACCAUAUACGAUUCUUAUCUAAGGCCGUGAAGUAAGAACAAUUGCACCCAAAAAAGUGAUGUAAGAGUGAUCCAUGAAAAUUUCAUUUUACCAUAAAGAAAGAUCAGCAAUGCUGCCAAAGAUUGAAAAAUCUGGGUGCACAGUAUCGUAUUAGAGUGUAAGUUAAAAUUAGCAUCUGUACUCCUUACCCUUGUCUAGGCAUAUUAGAGUGUAAGUUAAAAUUUGAUAUUAGUAUUCUAUUAUGUCCAAAACACCUUUCUCUCUAAUUAUUAAUUAUUAGAUUUAUUGUAUUCUAAUAGUAGUCAAUAAUUGUAGCAGUUAGAAUUAGAAUCAUGAUAAAUAAAAUAAAACGAUCCAACCUGUCAUGUCUUUUUGCAUUCCAUCUUCCAUUUUUAUUUCAAUCUAGAAUUUUUAUUAAUCACAAUCUAAUUCAAUUUCUAAACCGUCAAAAUUAUUGCUAUUGAUACCAAAUCAAAAUGCUUUUUUUCCAAUGGAGUCGUUGUCAUUAGUGCUUUACAUUAGGUCUGCUUAAAAUAAUAAAAAAUAAAAUAACAUAAAAUAACAUAAAAAAGUAAAAAAAAAACUCAAUUAUCUCUACCAAUGAAAUUUUAGUUAUAAAAAAUGAAUAGUUGGAUAGGAAAAAAAUAUUUAUAGGCGGUGGAUCAUCAACACUCUAGUGUUAAAUGAAAUAACACACAAAAGAAUAUAAAGAAUCCAAUUUCAAAGAAUAUACAUUUCUUCACCCAUAAAAUGAUCUCCACCUCUACUUUUAUCCAUCAUGUGCUCCAAUCUAUUCUAGAUGAAUUACAGUAAUGUGAAUUAUAACAAAAAACAGAGAACAAAAAUUAAUGCCUACAUUAAAAAUUAGUAGUAUUUUAAUUGAAACAGCACUAAUGAUCAUUAACAUCUAACUAAAACAGCAAUAUCAAUCAUUUCACCUAUCAUUAAUACCAAAAAAAACUGAAAAAAUAACUAAAAUGGAAGAUAAAAUCAGCACAUGAGACGUGCGAGAACAGUGAACUAAAAAAAAGAAAAAUUUUGCUUAAAUAACAUCAAAGAGAACAUUCACAUCAGUGAAAAAGCAUACAUAAAGACAAUAAUAUAAUACUUGGAAACCAUAAAAAAAGAAAUUACAUCUUAGAUAUUCAGCAUUUUAGAAAUCUUAUAUUUCAAAAAAUAUAUACAUGCGGUGAUAAUAAGUACGUCUUAGAGUUUACCAAAACAUUUUGCCGAAUUUCCCAAAAUUAACUACCGAGUCGUAUGUUAUUGUAUUGAGUAAAAUCCUGUUGGGACUGACAAAAGUUGGUGCGCAAACUUACUUCCCUAACAUUUGAGCACUAUUUUUCCCCCACAAGAACGAGUAGCGUAUUAAGGUUUUCUCCUAGUCUCGUUUUAUCUCAUUUUUAUUUAUCUCUAUAGUUACUACAAAACUACGGACAAUCCGAAUUCAGGAAGCCAGAUUGGCCUUGUUUGGACUUCACAUGCUAUGCUUAAUUGCUAUUAAUUAGAUGAUGAUAUCUUUGUCAUUUGAUCAAACAGAUCCUUUACUGUAGGACGAAUACAUUUCUUUUAUGUCACCCUCUGACAUUUAAUCCACAAUUAGAAGUUUUGUUUCUUUCCACAAUUAGUGUUCUUGAUAAACUGUCAUUGAUUUAAAAUUUUUUUACAAUUUUGGGGCAUGUCAAGCUCAAAUAAGAGGAUCCUUGUGCACAUUGGAAUAGGAUCAUUUUCAUUUCUUUCCUUUCAGUGUAUAAUUCUUCAAACAAAUCAAAUCUCUCAGAUCAUUCGUUUCAGCUCGAACGGAUUGAAAGCUUUCAAGGGCGGCUGGGAGGAUUUGCUGUAAAUGCCAUUCCUCCAUGUACGUCCUUAUGCGGUAAAUGACUAUGACAUCGAUGAUAGCCCUCAACACACAUGACAGAGUCAGUCCAAGGACGAGGCUUCAUGGUUCAUUAUCAACAGUUAUGUAUCCGAAAAUUUACGUUCUCCUCCUCCAUAAUCUGUACAAGGUUCCCAGAAAGGGGGGGUGGGAAAAGGUAAUGAAUUUAGAUCCCAUGCAGAAACUGUUGGGGAAAUCGGGUAAUUUCCCACUCAAAAAUACAACUAAUGAUUAAACCGAUUCAGUAAUUCUCAGGAAAGAUCGUCGAAACAAUCUCCUUAGACAGAAUUACCAUUCCAAGUAAAUUCCCAGGAAAGGCUGGAGGGGUCACAAGCGGUCCCACUUAAAACCCAGUCUCCUAGACAGAACUUACGUGCACGGUGUAUUAUCACAACUAUACCCGUGUAUACAUAAAUAAUACGUAAACACGAAUAAGAAAAUACACCCAAAAGAAUCGUAUAAUACACUACAAAUAAACCCGACAAAUAUAUUGAAUACUAUACUAUAAUUGAAAAGAAACUGUUAAAUAAAUGCGGAACAAAAUAAAAGAGAUAAGGAAAGAACGCACCCGAAAAUUGAUAACGGAGUUCGGCCAAUUUUGCCUACUCUCCGAGCACCACUCAAGCAGCCCGCUUUUAUAAAUUUUGGGAGAAGAAAGACUUACAAAAGAAUUACAAAAUCCUUUUUGGUGUAAUUCUUUUGUUUUCUUUUUCUUUUUGGUGCAUCUCAAUUGGGAAGCUUGAGAGCUAAUUUAUAGCUCUCAAGCAACCUCUCAAAUGCUAAGUUAUCCGAUGUGGGAUUUGUAAAUUUUGCCAAAAAUCAACAAUAUUGGCUUGAGAUAGUCAAUAAUGUUGGCUUUGAAUUCAAAUGUUGCCUUUGAAUUCAACAAAUCUCCACCUUGGCAUAAUUUCUAGUCCCACCAAAAAAUACAAACCUUCUCACCCAAACGGUCCUUGCGAUGCUUCCAAAUUUGCGCCGUUAGGCGCCAACUCAAAUAUGCAGGAUAUUGACCAAGUCUAAACAAUGUUCAAACUUGGACCUUGUAACCACCUUGGUCAGCAUAUCUGCAGGAUUCUCCGUAGUCCGAAUCUUCUGAAGAAAAAUCUCCUCUUCUUCGAGAAUUUCCCGCACAAAGUGAUAGCGAACAUCAAUGUGCUUCGUUCUUGCGUGCAAGACUUGGUUCUUUGCUAAGUGAAUAGCACUCUGACUGUCACAAAACACAUCAAUGUGUUUUUGACCAACUCCCAAGUUUUCAAGCAAUCCUUGAAGCCAAAUUGCCUCCUUCACAGCUUCUGUAAUCGCCAUGUACUCUGCCUCCGUUGUUGACAAAGCCACCGUUGACUGCAAAGUAAACUUCCAACUGACUGGCGCCUUGGCAAAUGUGAACAAGUAGCCAGUUGUAGAACGUCGCUUAUCCAAAUCACCUGCAUAGUCAGAAUCACAAUAUCCAACUAUACAUUGACCAAGUGAUUUAUCCUGCUCAAAUACUAAUCCAACAUCUACGGUAUUUUGGAUAUACCGUAGAAUCCAUUUCACAGCUUGCCAAUGACCCUUGCCUGGAUCAUGCAUAAACCUGCUUACCACACUAACUGCCUGUGAAAUGUCGGGUCUCGUACAUACCAUUGCAUACAUCAAGCUACCAACUGCAUUAGCAUACGGGACUUUCGCCAUGUAUGCUCGCUCUUCAUCCGUCUUUGGAGAUAAUAGGCUACUAAGUUUCAAAUGAGGAGCAAGCGGAGUACUUACAGGUUUUGAAUCUUCAUUCAUGCCAAAACGUUGUAGUACCUUCUUCAAAUACUGCUUCUGUGUCAGACAAAGCUUGCCUCUCGUUUUAUCCCUACUUAUCUCCAUGCCGAGAAUCUUCUUGGCUUCUCCCAAAUCUUUCAUCUCGAACUCUUUACUCAACUGAACCUUCAAUUUGUCAAUUUCAACUUGGCUCUUUGAUGCUAUCAGCAUAUCAUCAACGUACAAGAGUAAGUAGAUGUAGGAAUCAUCUUGUAGCUUGCCCAAAUACACACAGUGAUCAUAUUUGCUUUUUGUGUACUUCUGACCCAUCAUGAACUGGUCAAAUCGUUUGUACCAUUGCCUCGGUGAUUGUUUCAAUCCGUACAACGAUUUGCUCAGUUUACAAACCCAAUUUUCUUUACCAGCAACUUUGAAUCCAUCUGGUUGAGACAUAUAGAUUUCCUCCUUCAAGUCACCGUGAAGGAAUGCGGUCUUCACAUCAAGUUGAGCUAGCUCCAAAUUCAACUGCACUACCAAGGCCAACAAAAUUCUAAUCGAGGAAUAUUUAACAACUGGAGAAAAUACCUCAUUAUAAUCAACUCCCUCCUUCUGAGCGUAGCCUUUAGCCACCAAUCUUGCCUUGUAGCGAACAUCAAUCUUGUCAGGAAAUCCUUCUUUCUUUGCGAAUAUUCAUUUGCAUCCAAUUACCUUCUUGCCCUUCGAUAGUUGUGUCAACUUCCACGUCUUGUUCUUCUGAAGAGAUUGCAUCUCUUCUUCCAUAGCAUCUUUCCAUCUAUCAUUUUCUGUAUUUUGAACUGCUUCAGAAAAUGUGGAUGGAACAUCAUCAAUAACUGGAAGUGCAUAAGCCACCAUGUCAACAAAACGAGCAGGUUUAUGAAUUUCUCGUCUUGCCCUAUUGACGGCAAUUGACUCUUGCUGCUGUUGAGGUUCUUGGGUUGAAACCUCUUCCUCAUCUGACUCCUCUUCUGUCAUGGGAGAGUCACUGAUGGUGCUGUUUGCUAGACUCACCACUAUUUGCUCAAACUCCACCUGUUUCGGCGUACACUCCACCUGUUGCGGAGUACCACUGGUUCCAUCUUGUGUUACCUUAUUCAACAUGGCAGAUUCAUCAAAGGUAACAUCCCUGCUGAUAAUGGUUUUCUUUGCUUCUAGACACCACAACCGGUAUCCCUUAACUCCAGCACUAAAGCCCAUAAAGAGAGCCUUCUUUGCACGUGGAUCCAAUUUUGAUUCAUUUACAUGAUAAUAUGCAGUAGAACCAAAAAUACGCAAAGAAUCAUAAUCUAUUGCAAGUUUUCCAGACCAUACCUCUAAUGGAGUCUUGCCACCGAUUGCAGUUGAUGGCAAGCGAUUGACGAGAUGUUGAGUGUAUGUCACAGCCUUAGCCCAAAACUUUCUGCCUAACCCAGCAUUAGACAGCAUGCAACGUACUUUCUCUACUAGUGUCUUGUUCAUACGUUCUGACACCCCAUUCUGCUGCGGUGUUUUUCUAACUGUGAAGUGCCGAACUAUGCCACAUUCUUGGCAUAUCUUCUGGAAGGGAUCACUCUUGUAUUCUCCACCGUUGUCUGUUCGGAGAAUCUUGAUCUUUCUUCCCAUCUGGUUUUCAACCUGAGCUUUCCAUUUAAGGAAAAUCUCUAGCACCUCAUCCUUGCUUUUCAUAGUAAACACCCAAACUCUUCUGGAAAAAUCAUCAAUAAAAGUGACAAAAUAAUACCUGCCACCAAGGGAUGGAGUCUUGGCAGGUCCCCACACAUCUGAGUGCACAUAAUCUAAAAUACCCUCGGUAUUAUGGAUACCAGUGCCAAAUUUCACUUUUCUUUGUUUUUCCAGCACACAAUACUCACAAAAUUCUAAUUUGCAAACUUUCGUACCUUUCAAUAAUCCUUGUUUGGCAAGAUUUUGCAAGGAUUUUUCACCAGCAUGUCCCAAUCGCAUGUGCCACAACUUUGUUGCCUCUGCAUCUUUCUUGCUACUGGAAGAUGUUGCUGCUGCUGCUGUCCCAACAACUGUACUACCUUGGUAGUAAUACAGGUUAUUCUUCCUCACACCUUUCAACAUCACAAGUGCUCUCGAAGUUACUUUAAGAAUUCCAUCUCGCAUCUUCACUUCCAGGCCUUUUGACUCCAAGAGUCCCAAGGAGAUGAGAUUCCUUUUCAAAUUCGGCACGAAUCGAACAUCCUUCAAGAUUCUGGUAGAUCCAUCAUGAUUACGCAGCUUGAUUGAUCAUAUCCCAACUGUUUUACAUGGAUUGUCAUUUCCCAUGUACACAACUCCACCAUCAAAUUCUUCAAAUUCAAAGAACCAUUCCCGUAUGGGAGACAUAUGGUAGGUACAAGUUGAAUCCAAAAUCCACUCAUCUGGAUGGGAUGUUAAAGGUGAUACAGCCAAAGAGAAAUCUGAUUCCGCAUCACUUUUGCAUUCUGCAACAUUUACGUAUUGCGGAGCUUUCCCUCUCUUCUUUAACUUUGGACAGUCUUUCUUCCAGUGCUCUUUCUCACGACAGAAAGCACACUCAUCUUUGGCAACUCUGCUUUUCGAUUUGGACCUUCCUCUUCUCCCCUUUGAUUGGCUUUGUUGACGACCUCUUGCCACUAACGCUUCAUCUGCUGCAACUACUUUCUUUUUCAUUUUAUCCUGCUUUCUCAAUUCACGACUAUACAAAGCAGAACAUACAGCAUCUAAAGACACAUUUUCCUUCCCAUGAAGUAACGUAGUUUCCAAAUGUUCAAAUUCAUCAGGAAGGGAUGAUAACAACAUCAAAGCCAAAUCUUCAUCUUCAAAAUUUACAUCUAAAUUAAACAGGUCUGCUACUAAUUGAUUAAACAUAGUGAUGUGUUCAUUCAUAGUAGUACCUGGUUGGUAAUCGAAUCGGAACAAUCUUUUCUUCAUUAGGAGUUUAUUCUGACCACUUUUCUUCAGAAAUUUCUCCUCCAAUACCCUCCACAAUUUCCAUGCAGAAGUCUUGUUCUUGAAAGCAUAUUUUUACUCUUUGGACAAACACGAUCGAAUAGUUCCGCAUGCCAACCGAUUUAUGGUACUCCACUCCUUCUCUUCUAUGUCAUCUGGUUUCUUUUCUUCAAUGGCAAUGUCAAGACCCUGUUGGAAAAGGGAGUCCAUGACUUCGCCUUGCCACAUGCCGAAAUGGCCAGUACCGUCAAAUGUGUCCACCGCCACCUUCAAACUUGACAUUGGAAUUCUCGACCAUGUGGACGAGGAAGCCGACGCCCCAGAUAUAAUUCUUGACGUGGAAUUGUCAGAUGCCAUUACAGACUCAAAUGAUAGUAUUCAAUAUAACAAAUUACAAACAAGCCAAAGGACGAACCUUCGGCUCUGAUACCACUUGUUGGGGAAACCGGGUAAUUUCCCACUCAAAAAUACAACUAGUGAUUAAACCGAUUCAGUAAUUCUCAGGAAAGAUCGUCGAAACAAUCUCCUUAGACAGAAUUACCAUUCCAAAUAAAUUCCCAGGUAAGGCUGGAGGGGUCACAAGCGGUCCCACUUAAAACCCAGUCUCCUAGACAGAACUUACGUGCACGGUGUAUUAUCACAACUAUACCCGUGUGUACAUAAAUAAUACGUAAACACGAAUAAGAAAAUACACCCAAAAGAAUCGUAUAAUACACUACAAAUAAACCCGACAAAUAUAUUGAAUACUAUACUAUAAUUGAAAAGAAACUGUUAAAUAAAUGCGGAACAAAAUAAAAGAGAUAACGAAAGAACGCACCCGAAAAUUGAUAACGGAGUUCGGCCAAUUUUGCCUACUCUCCGAGCACCACUCAAGCAGUCCGCUUUUAUAAAUUUUGGGAGAAGAAAGACUUACAAAAGAAUUACAAAAUCCUUUUUGGUGUAAUUCUUUUUUUUUCUUUUUCUUUUUGGUACAUCUCAAUUGGGAAGCUUGAGAGCUAAUUUAUAGCUCUCAAGCAACCUCUCAAAUGCUAAGUUACCCGAUGUGGGAUUUGUAAAUUUUGCCAAAAAUCAACAAUAUUGGCUUGAGAUAGUCAAUAAUAUUGGCUUUGAAUUCAAAUGUUGCCUUUGAAUUCAACAGAAACAUACAUAAAACCGUGAAACCCUUCAAGUUCAAAGGUGCUGUAAUUAUAUAUAUUGACCCCCAAAUAAUUGAAAAUUCGUAUUGUUACCAUCACAAUAAUUCCCUUUGCCCUGCAAUCCAGGUUAAAGUUCCAUGCCAAGUCUCCUUCAAUCUUUCUCAUGGCAAAGUCUUUGUGGAAAAAGAUGGUGCAUGUGGAACACGCUUCCACGUUAUUCACGGGCAGCCAUGUUGGUGGUCAGAAAUUCGCAAUCUGCUAUUGUUUAUCGAUUUCUACAAAGAAAUGAAUAGAAAUCUGAUAAAUCAAGCCAAAUUUAGCAUCGGCAUUUCUUUUCUCCUAAGCAAAUGCCAUUUAUGCAGUUUUUCCUACCUUACAAAUGUGGGCAUAGAUGUCUCAGAUUAUCCUGACACUUCAGUUUUCCCUCGUUCUAGAAGUAUAUUCACAGUCUGAGCAUGCUUUGUUUUUUAUUUUAUUUUAUUUUUCCUGCAAUGUCAAUUAUUUCACUUUUCGCUAGCAUUAGUUUAGGAUUUGAGAAUCGAUUCAAAUCAGUUACAGUACCAGGCAUUUUUUUCCUGCUUUAGGAAGUGCGGAACGCGGGAACAGUUUAUGGAGCCAGCAUAGGAAUCAGACCAGCAGAAAAUCCAUGAUAAAGAGGAAGUGAAGAUGACUUAAUGGUUAAGGCAAAAUGGGACAGACAUAUACAAAACUCAGCGUCUAAGCGAUCAAUUGAUUUCAAUCCUUCGCGAAGGCUGCAAUUUUGCUCAGGUAUUUGAGUGCGCUGUCAAGAAAUACGAGAGAAAUGGGUGUCUUACUAAAGAGACGUAAACCUGAUAUGGCCUCAAUUCAGUCCAUGGAACCUGGAUUGUCUGAUGCUGUGAUUUUGACCUCCUGCUGCUGAAAUAAUUCACAUUGCAAAGACUAUUGCACAAGGAAAAAAAAAAAAAAUACUGUGACUCAAAUAAUCCACUUGAAUUUUGCUCUUCUUAUCUCAAUUACAAGUGCUCAAUGUAAUUGCAUAGACAAAAGGCAGUGACAACUGACAAGUUCCUGGGCAGUCGCUUUAAAGGGAAAAAAACAAAAAAUGUAAGAAGAACACGUAUAAAUAUGUACAAACUGUUGGAGAAUUGAAUAUCCAUAUGUCAGAGUCAGACAGACCAGCGUUGUCUCCUCCGUGUCAAUUAUUAGCAACUGCCAAUAAUAAUUAUAAUGUCGCGCAAGAUUCUGCUCCGUAAUGACUAUGAAUUUGGACAUUUAUUAGGAAGACAAAUCUGGCCGGCUUUUCUUUCCAAUUUUUCAGAAGACAAAUCUGGCUUUUCUUUUACCUAAAUGUCCCUCACUUAACGUAUCCACAUCAAACUAAAACACCCCCCCUCUGGACGUCGAAAUCCCACGCCCACCAACCAACCAGUGCCAGAAAUUAUUAUUAUUUGUUUCGUUGUAUAAAUGAUUUUAUGAUUCCAGCUUUGCCCACGCGUCAUUGUUGGACGUAAAACUCCUCCAUCUUUCUUCUUCAGCAUUUAUCAAGUGGAUGCUUGGCUUCUUGUACACAAUUGAAUCCGAGUCUACAAAACCAACUGCUCUGGGGAUCAAAUACGACGGACUCUGGCAAUCUUCAUCUCCAUCUCCAUGCAUCGAAGAUUCCCCCGAAACAUUGUUGUAGGCCCUAAAUGACCCACUUCGACGACCAUGUGAUUCACUGAAUUAUAUGAUUAAGUUUGACAACUAUACCUUUGUCUUCUUCGCUUCCAACAGUCCAAAAGAACUAAAAGUAUGUACAUUAAAUACAGAAGUUCUUCUUUUGAACAAGUUCCUGAUGCAUGGAAAAACGAAGCUUGUAUUCUUUGACAAAAGGAUCGGUGCCUAAACAAAUAAAAUUGUUCUUUGCCAAGUUCAAACACACAUACUUUAUCAUAUGCAUUUUCUGCUGAUUGCUUCAUCUAUUAUAAUUUAUAGCAUACAUAAUUGAUGAGUAAUGGAGAGGAAAACAAAAGCAGUGUGAGCCUCCAUAGCAAUGAAGCCGAAAAACUAUGCAUGCUAGCGAGGCUUUUACUAGAGCGUAGUAUGUGGAUAAAAUCUGGGAUUUAUGCUUUUGUUUCUCAAUAUCUUAAAUUCAUAAACCUCUUUUGCUCAAAAUAAAUAAAUAAAUGAAUUCAUAAUUAAAUUCAAACAACAAACAAGAUUUUUUGCUGUAUUUUUGAGUUUGAUGGACCCAAACCAUCAUCACAGGAAAAUCUUCAAGAAAUUACUCGACAACAAAAACCCACGAGAAAAUCUUCAGGAAAUUGAUUAAGAGACAAAGGGGAAAAAAAAAAAACCUUUUAUUUCUCACGAUGAAGAUGAAGGCUGCGGCUUUUCUACUCUCAUGAAUCUUAGGCCAUUGCACACUUUAGACGAAACAGAGGGACUCUCAUGGUUGUCCCAUGCGGCUUACUUGUCACAUACAACUACCGUACUGCCUGACAACUAUUGUACUGACUACUACGUACAAGGGACUGUAUCUCAUGUUGUCAUCAUACAAACUGAAUAAUAACUUACACUACGAAUGACACCUGGCUCUCUACUAACUUAACAUAUACUAAUACUAAAGCAUAAAAGCGUAAUAAGGCUUGAUUUAAUAAUUUCUUUACAGAGUUUCAAACUAAAGUUUGAUGUUGUUCUUUUAAUAAGUAAUAAUCUUGUGUUUGAGUAUAAAUAGUAUUAAUCUUGUAGUUGGAUAUUAGAGCUGAGGUUUGUUCUAUAGAAAGGUGUGUAGUAAAUUUAAGGAGUUUUGAGAAAUAAAAAAAAAAAAGAAGAAGAAAUUGAUAAGAAAAGGCAUAGGUAAAGUCCUGCCGGCUGAGGAGAUGAUAUCUUCUCUGCUUACACAUGCAAUCUACCUAGAUACACUUAAAAAAUAGAUUAAAAAGGUUAAAAUAUUUUAUGUACAAUUAAAAAGAUGUACGAAUUGUCUGACCUAUGGCCGCCGAGCAUUAUAGUACGAACUACAAACUGCAUGAGAAAUGUGCAGUACAAAUUGUCUAUUUUCUUAUAAGUUUUCCGUCUGUAUAGUAUCGUAGUACAACCAAGUAGUACAGACAAUUGAAAGCUAAACUGCUAAAGGCCCCAACGAUCAACAAGCCUACUUAUAGUUAUAGGGGUAUGCCAAGUUUAUACUGAUUAGUACUAAUUCGGAUGUGGGCUCUCAGGAAAGAAUAAUUAUCCUUUCGAAAGGCGAAAGAUGAGAAUGAUUCAUUUGAAGAUUAUCAAAGUGUGUUGGUGACUUUCGUGCGGAAACUGGAGAGUGGUUUUGUAACCAUUGGUGCUAUUGAAACUCACCUUGCUCCCAAAUUCGGGUUUUUGGUGUUUUUUUUUUUCGAAUUUUCUGUCGAGGUUCAAAAUUUCUUGCAACUUUCUUUCCAUUUCCAAUAUGCCGUAAAUUGUAACAGCAGAUGGUUUUCUAUUUCAGUAUGAGACUGUGUAUUAUGGUCACAGCACCUCUCUUUGGACCAAAAUCACCAACACGCUUUCGUGAUCAUCAGCCCUACUCAAAUUCUCUCAACUCCUCAUCCAUUCUGAAGCUGGAGGAUGUUUUCUCUGUGCCCAGCACAAGCAGGUAAAAUUUCCGAAUUGCCAUGUGUUAAUUUGUUGCACGAAUAUAGUUUACUUGCUUGGAUCUGUCAUUCGGAAGCAGGAAACAGGGAAUGGAUGAAAGAAUUCAGGGGCGCAACGGAUCUUCUGUCCCACACCCUGUGCCACUCUCUAUCCCACUUUUUAUUAUAUUGCUAUUUCUCCUACAUAAACAUUAUAUUUUAGUUCUUUUUUAUUUUUUAAAGAUCCAAUAAUUAUUAAUUGAGUAAUAUACAAAAUUUAACAAACUUAAAAUAUUAUAAAAUAAAUACAGCAACUUCAAUAACUAUUAAUUGAGUAAAAAAUAAAUACAACAGUUUCAAAAAAGUAAUAUAUAAUAGAAAAUUAAAAAAGACAGCAAAAAAUUCAUAAAAAAUCUCAUUUAAUAGUUAUUGAAAAAUCAUGAUAACAUUGAAUUGUGGUCCUAAAUAUCAAUUAGUAAAAAGUCACGGGACUGUGUGUGUUGUCCAGAGGUAAGACUGUGACAUUGCCUAAAUAUCAAUUAGUAAAAAGUCACGGGACUGUGACCUGGCCAAUUAACCACUGAGUCUAGCUCAGUGGCCAUCAGGAAGGGAUUUAAAUCUUUUCUUGGGUUGUAGGUGAGGAUUCAAAUUUUAUCUGUAAAAAAAAAAAAAAGUUCUAAGGGUUGUGUCAUAACACUUUCUUGGUCUAGUUGGAUUUGUAUAUCUACUGGCCCUUGACACAAGCCUCCUUAGACUCCUCCUCCCCCUAAAUUAGAAUAGAAUAUGUUAUAUCGUUGCGAGGAAAAAAAAAAAAAAAAAGGACCGACCCAUGCAGAGGCUAGUUAAAAAAAUUUGAUUUUUUGAGUUUGUUAAAUUUUGUGUAUUACUCAAUUAAUAGUUAUUGAAUCAUAAGGAAGCAAAAAAGAACUAAAACAUGAUGUUUAUGAAUGAGAAAUAGCAAUAUAAUAAAAAGUGGGACAGAGAGUGGCACAGGGUGUGGGACAGAAGAUCCGUUGCGCUCCAAAUGGCAUACCGAUCAACUGUUGCCCUCCCUCCGCUGCGGGUAGCAGUGAUUAUACACCUUCUGCUCGCGAAGUCUACACAAGAAUGCCGGCUCACACGGUCAGCCAUGACUACGUCAAAAAAUAUUCAUCUGCCAUUGCAAAAUGAAGAACCUUUCUCUGAGCGAUCCUCGUAAUUUUUACCAACUAGCAAACGUCCAUUGCGUGUACUGUGACGAAGGGUACUCUCAAUUGGGCUUUCCAGACAAAAAAUUGGACGUUCAUAACUCAUGGCUAUUUUUUCCGUGGCACAGAUGGUACCUUUAUUUCUUCGAAAGAAUUUGUAUGAUGUUACGUUUACUCUGCCAUUUUGGCACAGAUGUUACGUUUACCCGACCCCUGUUGGUUGCCAUCAAAUCUUCUUCUGUUGUUCUUUAGUGCGACUGCAAUAGAAUGAUACCGUAUGGGUUACGGUCUCAGUAGUCGCUGACAUUGAUAAGAAAAACAAUUGAACUCAAGAAGCAAGUAUGAUAUCAUAAAAUGUGAAUGCAAAAGGCAACAUUAAUUCGCCAUUUUUGUGUUCCACUUUUGCAACUCGAAUGUGAAUGCAAAGCUACGUAUUCCAGUCCAGAUUUACCAUGAACACACAUCAUUGGAAAUGAAAAUUUCAGUUUAUAAGAAAAAGAUAUUUGGUAGGCCAAAAACUUGUUCAAUAAUUGAAACAAACAAGGGGAGCUUAGGAAAUUUCCGGGCCAGAUAUGGGUACAGCACUUUCUUCUCGUCCCUUUGCAUAACAAUUCAAGCUUAGCAAUGAAUUUCUAGUCCCUAUCUUGAUCAAGGAGUCUGUUUGUAAGGUGUGUUUUUUCUGGUGUUUGUAUAAACUUUUACAGUAAUUUAUUGUGAAAGUUGAACAAAUUUUUUUGUAUAAAUAAGAUUUGAAAAAACUGAAAAAUUUUCAUGAUUUUUGCCUUUUGUUCUCCAUUCUUUUUUUCCCCCUUUCCUUCCUCUUUCUUCUUCCUCUCCACUCCUAUUUUGAUCUUCCUCCUCCCUCUCCAUUAUCGCCACCGCUGGUCGCCACCUCUCUCUCUCUCUCUCCCCCCCUCUUCAUCCUUGCCCCAUCCAUAUUGAUUAUAAAGUAUAAAUUCGUUAUUUCAUUUUAAAAUGUGGUGUGGCAGUCAAAUUACUACAAUGGGACCAUCAGCGGCCAUAACUAUCUCUCGUUAAAAUGUAAUUCAAAUAUUAAUAUUUUAAAAUAUAAAAUUAAAUAAGAGAAAUUUAUAAAUGCCAUUAAAUCAAAAAAAUAUCACUAAAGUAUGCAUAAAUUGCCAUUUUUUAAUGUCAUUAGAAAAGAAUUUUCUUCUAGUGUACAAUUAGUAGUGAAAUAAAGAAUCUUAGGGAAAUUAUUUGAAUUGUUUUCAUUUUCUUCACAGAGUUACUGUCCCAAAAUUACUAAAAAUUUUGGAUUGUGAUCUUUUGGACAUAUAUUUUUACAUUUUUUUCCACACAAUUUCCAAUCUCUUUUUUUUUUUUAAUCUUACAUACGUCACAUCCUUUAAAAAAAAUACUAUAAUAAUUUUUUUUCCAAAAAUUCUCCAAAAAAUGCAAUCUAAAUGGGGUCUAAUUAUUUCAAUGAAUCAUACAAUUUCAGGGUACAUCCAGACAAUAUCAAAUUGUGGGAUGAAUUUUACAAUCAUUAUUGAAAUGACACUAAUGGUCACUUUACUUGUGGUCCUUGAAUCUUAACCCAAUUAUGCAAAAUCUACAAUAGACAAUUGAAAAGGUGUCUGUGGGCCAUCAUAUCGCGCCAACUGAUCCACGUAUGUGCAUGCAUUUGUCCAAUCAAUGGAUAUCUUUAGAUAACUUUUUUUUCCAUUAAACCCUCGGCUAGCCCCAGGUGGUUUAGGUAACUUGUUUUAGAAAUUUUUUUUUAAAAAUAUCAAUUACGAAAACACUUUAAAACAAUCACACAAUUUGAAAAAUAUACAAGAAAACAUGAAAUAGGCACUGAUGGUGGGAGUAGGUACUGGUGGUAGGUGGAGUUUGCCGUGGUCUGUGAUGGGUGGUGGCCUGGUGGGGGAGGGGAAAAUAUUAAUUUUGAAUUAAUAUUAAUAUUUUUUAAAAAUAAACAUAGUAAAAUUUUAAAUAAACACUUUCAUUUGGAUUGGUCUACUUUUUAAAAACUAAUUUUUCAAAUACAAUGUUACAGUAAUACAAAAACAAAAACAAUUUAAAAAAAUUUCAUUCAUACAAUAAAUCAAAAACAACUCACAAAUAUACACAAAAAAUUUUAAAAAAUUUUACAAUAUUUUCCACUUAUCACUACCACUCGCCACCGCCACCACUGCCACCACUACCACCCUCUUCCUCCUCUCCUCGACCAGAUCCAGGGGAGGAGGGGAAGAUUGAAGGGUGGGGGGGGGAAAGGGAGGGGAGGAGGAAAAGGAAAGAGAAAGGAGGAGAGAAAGAGUGGUGACGGUUGUGGUUGUAGGUGAUAGUAUUAAUUUUUAAAAAAUAUUUUAAAAAUAUUUUAAAUUUAAAAAGUACUUCAAAUUAUAUUUCAAAAACUCCUCCAAAAAAUCACAAAAAAAAUUUUAUAGUAAAAAUUUUUCAGACACACUACUAUAGUAAAAUAUUUCAAAAAAAUUCCAAAAAAUAACUUAUCCAAACGAACCUAUAAUAUCCAAGCAGACCGUCAUUGAACAAGUUCUGCUUUUUUAUUCGCUGCAUUUAUGCUCAAUUAAAAGAUUGCACUGAAAUAUCAAAACUAUAUUAUCUAUUUUCCUUUUCUUCUCAAAGGUAUUGAAAAAGUUUUUUAACUUAAUACUUUGAACGAAAUAUCAUAUUAUAUCAGAAUAAUCCAAACAAUACAAAAUUGGCUAAUUGAAUUUUUUUAUUAUUACUCAAACCACUAUAAUUACUUUGCUUGUGGUCCUUUAUUCUCCAACAACACAUUAAAAAACAUACGCUCCAUUUGGAUUAACUAUUUUUGAGAGUGUUUUUGAAAUAUUUUAUUAUAGCAUUGUAUAUGAAAAAAUUUUAUUAUAAAUAUUUUUUGAAAUAUUUAAUAUAUUGUAUGAAUGAAAUAUUUUUUGAGUUAUUUUUGUUUGUAUAUUACUAUAAUAUUGUAUUUAAAAAAUUUGUUUUUGAAAAAUAGGUGAAUCCAAAUAAUUGAUAAGAGAAAAAAGGGAUCCUAUGGGCUAUAACACCACACGAACUUAUCCAUGCAUUUGUAGAGUUCUGCUGUCCAGUCUCAGCAUUUAUCCAUUUAUACAUUAUCGAAAGAUUUCUUUCUGCUCUCCACUAUCCACAUUAAUUAGACUAUCAUUCUCGAAUGGGUUUGGACAGGUGCGUUUUAGGUUUCUAUGCAAAUUUUUUUUUUUUUUUUUGUCGCUCCUAGAAUUUAAUCUAAUCUAAUCGAGGGGAGGAGGGGGAGGGGGACUCGAUGUGACUCCAUCGAACAUGACCAAUUAAGAUCGUCAUAAAUUGUAACAAUUUUUGGGUGAGAGGCAAGGAUCGAACCCUUAACCUCCCGCACCACCAAUACUUUUAAAGGCUUCUAUGCAAUUAUUUGAUUGUGUAUAUUUUACACAAUCUGGCAUACACUAAUAUUAUUAAUUUAAUAUAUGAAUAAAACUACAUUGAUAAACAUACACCAACAUCUAAAAAAAAAACAGAAAAAUGAUAUUAACACUUCCAAAAAAGUUUCUAACA
rnacentral:lncRNA from 1 species